ACUAUAUAAUGAACUUGAAGUUUGUUAUUCAUAUUUCAAGAACAAAAGAUAAUAGAGUUCUAAAAUAAAAUCUUCACAAAAAAAUGGCAAAACACAUUUCUCAGUACUGUCUCUUGGGAAUUUUAUGCAUUGCGUUGGUUCUAACUUCAGGACCAACACCAGGUGCUAGCUGCGAUGAUCCUGUGAUUUGUGAAAGCUAUGCUGGUUGCGACCUUUGGUGCCGCGCAACCUUUGGUUACAACAGAGGAGUAUGUACUGACAUUCCGGGAACCUUAUCUUGUUGCUGUAUGUAAUGAAAUAAAUUACAUUAUUAUAAAUAUUUAUAUCUAUUUUACUAAAUAAGAAACAUCUUCCUCCAAAGCUUUUAUUUAUAUAUGUUUUGAAGCAUAUAUAUCAAUAUGAAAUAAAGAAAGAGAUAGACUUGUGCAACUUUACUAUAUAUAUAUGUAAGACAUGUGUAUCUGUAAACCAGAUCAGUUCAUAAGCAAUGAAGAAUUUACUAUUUUGCAACAUUA